GGGGACGCUACGGAUUCGACAGGGAUAGUUUGAGCUUAGGUUGCGAGUCGAGGGGAUCGGCCUCGUUAAAACGUCAAAGCCUAUAACUGGCAAAGAAAACAACAACCUCGCUUUCGCUGCUUAAUAACAGUCGAUAGCGGUUCCUCCCUCCAUUGCCCAUGUGGUAGGGUAAGGGACUCACUUUAAGUGGGCUACGCCGGAUUCCACCGUCUGAGGAUGAAGGAAGAGAACAACCAGACUAGUUGCCCGGACGCCUGUCGAUAGGCAGAAGGUUGCCGCGAAACGCUAAUAUGUCGACUACACUCGUAGAAGCUUAAGUGCCAAUAUUCUUGGACGUGGGUUCGACUCCCACCGUCUCCACCA
rnacentral:tmRNA from 1 species